rnacentral:rRNA from 1 species
UAAGCAUAUCAAUAAGCGGAGGAAAAGAAACCAACAGGGAUUGCCCUAGUAACGGCGAGUGAAGCGGCAACAGCUCAAAUUUGAAAUCUGGCCUUCUGGUCCGAAUUGUAAUUUGUAGAGGAUGCUUUUGGUUAGGUACCUUCCGAGUUCCUUGGAACAGGACGCCUUAGAGGGUGAGAGCCCCGUACGGUUGGAUGCCGAGCCUCUGUAAAGCUCCUUCGACGAGUCGAGUAGUUUGGGAAUGCUGCUCUAAAUGGGAGGUAAAUUUCUUCUAAAGCUAAAUACCGGCCAGAGACCGAUAGCGCACAAGUAGAGUGAUCGAAAGAUGAAAAGCACUUUGAAAAGAGGGUUAAAUAGUACGUGAAAUUGUUGAAAGGGAAGGGCUUAUGACCAGACCUUUGCCUUGCGGAUCAUCCGGUGUUCUCACCGGUGCACUCCGCUUGGUUGAGGCCAGCAUCAGUUCUGGCAGCGGGAUAAAGACAGCAGGAAUGUGACUCCUCCGGGAGUGUUAUAGCCUGCUGUGUAAUACCGCUGCUGGGACUGAGGACCGCGCUUCGGCUAGGAUGCUGGCAUAAUGGUCAUCAGCCACCCGUCUG